rnacentral:misc_RNA from 1 species
GUAUUGCGGGCGCCUAUUGGCGCCAAGCAAGAUGGCCGGACUUGGGGAUCUUGUUGCAGCUUGUCUAAUAGAAAAAGACGUUGAUGCCGAAGUGCUUUGGACGUGGUCUUAUCCUACCAUCAAUGAAGCGCACCGUCAGGUCAUCUUGAGGAAGUGCUGUCUGAAGACUGAUAAAGACGAAAUUAUAGCGUUUUGUUUUGGCCAGUUUAACAAACAAUGGUUUUACAUUUACACAUCAGAGGUUAAGAAUUCGGAUGCAUUGAGCAAGGUCACUCAUGUUGCUCUGACACUGAUAACUAAGGAUUUUUGUCCAGAGAAGUACAAAGGUCUCUGCAAGAUUAUGUGUAACAAGUUCAUCAAAACAGGGGAUGCCAGCGGCAUGCUGGAGGCAUACCUAUCUGUGGUUACCAAAGGCUCUUGCCCUAAUGAUGAUAAUGGUUUGUUUUUAGUCAAGGACUUUGAUCCUCGUCUGUCAUAUGUGGCCUCUCCUAUUUCAGAUGUGAUCAACAUAUUUGGAGUGGAAACAAUUCUGAUAUACACUGCACUUCUGCUAAAGAAGAAAGUAGCUGUGUACAGUCCUAAAGUUGAAACUAUUUUGGAUAUUUGUAGGGCAUUACCUCUAUUGGUUUGGCAUCGUCAGAACUGGAACAUUGUCCAUCCCUAUGUACAUCUAGAGGAAGAGGAACUUGAGAGGCUUACAACAAGCAUUACAUACGUGGCUGGCUUCACUGAUGCAUCAGUUGAAAGCAGGACUGAGCUGUAUGACCUGUUUGUUAAUGUUGCGGCUGGAGAAAUUUCAAUUGCACCCGAAUCACGAGAAACCUUCCAGAUGGGAAAAAUUCACAAGGACAUCGCCAUGUUUAUGGUAGAUGCUGCUAAAAACGAGGAAUACAACGAUCAAAAGCUCGUCAAGGAAUUAUCGGUCAAGACAAAGGAUCUUAUUAACAACCUUAAAAAGCUGGCAGUUGAGCCGGAGGAAGGUGGAAAGAGUUUCUGGACAAUCCCUUUCCCUUGGAACAACUCUUUAACACUGGAAAGAAUGAUUCUCUGUAUCUUAGCAAGGCAAUCUACAAUCUGAUCUAUCUAUUGUUUAAGACUAUUUCACUGAUGAUGGAACAUAUGGCAAAACAAGGUCUCUCCAUCAUUGGCAAUAGUCACAGUUUUUGGUGAUAUCAUUGACAAUGGAUUAACUUGGCAAAAAAAAGGAAAAGAUCUCUGCAUCAUGGUUCAAGAUAACACUGAGGAGGUUUAGGGAAGUCAUCAGAAAGUGAUGAAAAAAGAACAGGAUGUAAAAAUAAAAUGUUUUGUGUAUUUGCUUAGUUUAGCUGAGUGAUAUUUUCCGGAAAGGAGAAGUUAUUUGUGGCCAACAAUUGCUAGCUUUCCAGGAAAAUAAUAGAUGUUUCCAUUAAAUUGGUUGAUGAUUUCGAAGCUAA